rnacentral:rRNA from 1 species
UACGUAGGGUGCAAGCGUUAAUCGGAAUUACUGGGCGUAAAGCGUGCGUAGACGGUUAUGUAAGUCAGAUGUGAAAGCCCCGGGCUUAACCUGGGAAUGGCAUUUGAGACUGCAUAGCUAGGGUGCGGAAGAGGGAAGCGGAAUUUCCGGUGUAGCGGUGAAAUGCGCAGAUAUCGGGAGGAACACCAAUGGCGAAGGCAGCUCGCUGGGACGGUACUGACGCUGAGACGCGAAAGCGUGGGGAGCAAACAGG